UGCCAUGAAUUCAGAUAUUAUUGGUGUGAAGUUUGAAACAGGAUUUGUAUCGGUUUUGGGCGUCAUCGAAACCAAUUUUGUUAUCAGAUGUAAAGCAAGAAGACAAUCGCUUUGAAAUUUGAAUAUUGCGUUGAAAUUUCUGUGUGCUGUUAGACGGUUGAAAAAAUAGAGGAAAAUAUAGGAAUAGAACACAAAAUACCAGAAAAAUUGAAUUUAUGGAAAAAAUUCAAACAUCAUAAGAGGAUUUACAAAUCGCAAUUAACUGCUUAUAGAUUCAUUAUGACAGUAAUUAACGGAAUCCUGUAAUGCUGCAGGUCCUCCACACAAAGAUGUCACCGGGCGGAAAAGUUAAAUAAAUAACUUGUUUUUAUAAGCUACUAACUGACCCCGCAGCGUUGUCCUGUGUGAAAUUGUGCGUGUUUGAAAUGAAAAGAAAGCUUAAUUUACGUUGUGUUAAAAAUUAUUUAUUUUUGAUUUUUCUAAAUUUUUUUCAAUGUAACGCAUGCAAGCCUCUCCAAAAAUUUUAGAAAUUCCACUGAAUAAUUGCGCGUGCACUCAAGCAAUCGUAGUUAAGAUAAUUUGGAUAAAAUGUCUUCGGCAAAGUAAUUUUUGUUCGUAUACAAUAAUUGACACGGAUUUGAAGGCUGAUAUGUCGAAAUGAUCACCACGAGAAGUGUGCGAAAUUCAGUAGCAUGCGAAGUAGCUAUCGAAUCGUCCAUCGUUUGAUUCCAUUGAUUAUUAUGUUCCAGCAAUUGUAAAAUCGUCGUUUUUCGGCUGAAUUGUGUAAAUUCGUCCUAAGGCAUUAGUUGAAAACACACUUGGAUGUCCAUCUACUGGUUGGCCAUGGUUUCUGCGUAACUAUUUCUUCGACGAUGCAUUCCAUGUAUAUUAUCAAGGCAUUUCCGAAUACAUAGAGCAUUGUUCUCGCAAACGGAUCACUGACGCAAGUUGAGAAAAAACUCGUCAAGGUCAAUUUUGUUUCUGGCGGUGUUUCCACUGACUGUAGUGUAUUCCCUGGGUUGAAAUACACUCUCUGCGAGACGCACAACAGUCGGAAAUCGUUCAUAAAUUGCAAAGGCCAAUAACUGCCAUGUGGCUUUCUUUGGUGACGUAUUUGAUCGAUUUCACCAAACUGCAAUAUUUAACAUUGGCAUGAGUUUUGAAUGUGAAUUAGACAACAGAGGCGAAUAUGCUACGAUCCAUGUGCUGUCGACUUCGAAGUUCACUCCUCUAAGUUGAAUGCUAAAUGUUCUGCCAUUGCCGUCUGAUCACGUGGGAUUUCAGACAUGGUGUCAAAGAGAAAGAUGCUCAGUAUGCUUUGACAUUUCAUCAUGAAUAGACUUACUAACGAGCAACGCUUGCAAAUCAUUGAAUUUUAUUACCAAAAUCAGUGUUCGGUUCGAAAUGCUUUUUUAUCGACAAAUUUUGUUCAGCGAUGAGGCUCAUUUCUGGUUGAAUGGCUACGUAAAUAAGCAAAAUUGCCGCAUUUGGGGUGAAGAGCAACCAGAAGCCGUUCAAGAACUGCCCAUGCAUCCCGAAAAAUGCACUGUUUGGUGUGGUUUGUACGCUGGUGGAAUCAUUGGACCGUAUUUUUUCAAAGAUGCUGUUGGACGCAACGUUACGGUGAAUGGCGAUCGCUAUCGUUCGAUGCUAACAAACUUUUUGUUGCCAAAAAUGGAAGAACUGAACUUGGUUGACAUGUGGUUUCAACAAGAUGGCGCUACAUGCCACACAGCUCGCGAUUCUAUGGCCAUUUUGAGGGAAAACUUCGGACAACAAUUCAUCUCAAGAAAUGGACCCGUAAGUUGGCCACCAAGAUCAUGCGAUUUAACGCCUUUGGACUAUUUUUUGUGGGGCUACGUCAAGUCUAAAGUCUACAGAAAUAAGCCAGCAACUAUUCCAGCUUUGGAAGACAACAUUUCCGAAGAAAUUCGGGCUAUUCCGGCCGAAAUGCUCGAAAAAGUUGCCCAAAAUUGGACUUUCCGAAUGGACCACCUAAGACGCAGCCGCGGUCAACAUUUAAAUGAAAUUAUCUUCAAAAAGUAAAUGUCAUGAACCAAUCUAACGUUUCAAAUAAAGAACCGAUGAGAUUUUGCAAAUUUUAUGCGUUUUUUUUUAAAAAAAAGUUAUCAAGCUCUUAAA